rnacentral:rRNA from 1 species
GAUGAACGCUGGCGGCGUGCUUAACACAUGCAAGUCGAACGGAAAGGCUCCUGCUUGCAGGGGUACUCGAGUGGCGAACGGGUGAGUAACACGUGGGUGAUCUGCCCUGCACUUCGGGAUAAGCCUGGGAAACUGGGUCUAAUACCGGAUAGGACGAUGGUUUGGAUGCCAUUGUGGAAAGUUUUUUCGGUGUGGGAUGAGCUCGCGGCCUAUCAGCUUGUUGGUGGGGUAAUGGCCUACCAAGGCGUCGACGGGUAGCCGGCCUGAGAGGGUGUACGGCCACAUUGGGACUGAGAUACGGCCCAGACUCCUACGGGAGGCAGCAGUGGGGAAUAUUGAACAAUGGGCGCAAGCCUGAUGCAGCGACGCCGCGUGGGGGAUGACGGCCUUCGGGUUGUAAACUCCUUUCGCUAGGGACGAAGCGCAAGUGACGGUACCUGGAGAAGAAGCACCGGCUAACUACGUG